AGAGUUUGAUCCUGGCUCAGAGUUAACGCUGGCGGCGUGCCUAACACAUGCAAGUCGAGCGAGCCUGUAGCAAUACAAGUUAGCGGCAAACGGGUGAGUAACACAUGGGAAACCUCCCUCAAAAUGGGGAACAUCUCCGAGAAAUCGGAGCUAAUACCGCAUAAGACCACAGUCCGGCAUCGGACAGGGGUAAAAGCAGUAAUGCGUUUUGAGAUGGUCCUGUGUCCUAUCAGCUAGUUGGUGAGGUAACGGCUCACCAAGGCUAAGACGGGUAUCCGGCCUGAAAGGGUGAACGGACACACUGGAACUGAGACACGGUCCAGACUCCUACGGGAGGCAGCAGUGGGGAAUUUUGGACAAUGGGGGAAACCCUGAUCCAGCGACGCCGCGUGAAGGAUGAAGGCCUUCGGGUUGUAAACUUCUUUUGGAGGGGACGAAUAAAUUGACGGUACCCUCAGAAAAAGCCACGGCUAACUACGUGCCAGCAGCCGCGGUAAUACGUAGGUGGCGAGCGUUACUCGGAAUUACUAGGCGUAAAGCGUAUGUAGGCGGUUGUAUAAGUCUAUGGUGAAAUUUCCUGGCU
rnacentral:rRNA from 1 species